AUUCUAAAUCUUAUACAUCUUCAAAAAUGUAUUAAAGAACUAUAUAUAUUGUGACUUCCUUCCAGACAAUAGCGAAAUUAUUCAAAAUAACUCUAAUUAAUCAUGAAAUGACUAAAAUAACUCAUAUAAUUUUGAAAUAACUAGAAUAACUCUUGAAACAUGUAAAUUUACGAUUUUACCAUUACUAAUAAUUAAACCAUAAUUUUUUUAAAAAGAAAUACACUUUAAUUUUAAGAAAUGAAAAAAGAGAAACACUUUACUUUUGUAGGGUUUCUCCACCAAACGCCCUCCUCCUCGUGUCCUUCACCUCCAUCUUCGACGGUCAUUUCUCCGUCACAAUCGGCUUCGUCUCCAUCACCCUACCAUAACUCGACUCUGUCUCCUACAUCCUCCACUUGAACUCACCUUUUGUCUCUCUGUUUCUCGACAAACCCGAAUCGAUUUCACUUCACUCACUUCUGGCUUCAGUUGCAACGUACUCUAAUCUAGAAUGAGAGGCGUUAGAAGAUAUUUCUUGAAGCUGGGUGGACCAAAGGUUUCAGCUUGAGAAGACAAUGAAGAUUCUUCCUGGUGGUGGAGCUGAUGAAAGCAAAAUAAGCGUUGAACAAGUCAAAUGAACUCUGACUCAAUACGUAUUCCUUUAUCAAAGUUUCGAUAUCUGACCCUGAUGGAAUGCUCAAAGCUUCUAGCUUUACAUCACUGAGCUGCGGAGAGAGAGCUGUGUACAAGAAAUACUCUUAAGAUCGAGAACGGCGUAGGUGUUGCUUUAGUUUCAUCAGCCAAGUCUCUCUUGAGUGCUGCUCCUCUUUCUUUAUGCUCAAGUGAUUUGACGGGAAAAGAGUCGUUCCUCAUAUUUGAAAACUUUUGUUAUAAGUUCGUAAUGAAUUCUUUUUUGUAUUGGUUCAACUUUUCUAUGAUUAAUAAAUAAGCUUUAUGAUUGCCU